AACUGAUACUACCUGCGGGAACCUGCGGAAGGAUCAUUACUGAGUGAGGGCCCUCUGGGUCCAACCUCCCACCCGUGUUUAACGAACCUUGUUGCUUCGGCGGGCCCGCCUCACGGCCGCCGGGGGGCAUCCGCCCCCGGGCCCGCGCCCGCCGAAGACACCUGUGAACUCUGUCUGAAGUUGCAGUCUGAGAAACUAUUUAAAUUAGUUAAAACUUUCAACAACGGAUCUCUAGAUCGG
rnacentral:misc_RNA from 1 species